rnacentral:lncRNA from 1 species
CUUAGUUGACAAAACUUUGAAGUAAGAGCUUGCAAUAAUCUUCGAAUUGACAACAAACACCUAUCUGGCUAUUACUUUACGUCCUACAGUGAAAAGUAGGGCCACAAAUAAGUGUCCGUCUCGAGCUAUGUUUCAGAACCGCAAGCAAGAGAACAACUCCAUGUGAACCUCGUGAGCACCAGAGCGCAUGGAUAAUAAACUAUUGGGCGGCUCAUUAUGAAUUUCGACGAACCGUGUGUGUUGAAAUGGUAUACUCUACGAGCUUUGGUUCCGCUGACUUUGUUUCGACUCCGUCACGAUCACAGCCGUUUACUAUCGACUAGUGUAAAAUGUUAUGGCUAUUAAAAGCGGUUGAAGAUAUUUCGGUCUACAACGAUACAUACAGCUACGCAGAACUAGGAACACGGGUCUUGGCUAUUUAUAAGAUCUAUCAACAACUUCUCCUGCUGUCUAGCCUUUCGUCUUGACACCAUCUAAAUUGUCGGUCUAAGCUGACUACCUGACUCGCUUACGACUCAACGACUUUUCUGAAUUUCCUUCUUUCUUACUAUGAUUGCCUCCCUGGUAAGAGGCAGUAGCAACACAGCCGCGUGGCGGAAGAUUCGAACAAAACAGAACAACGUAGACACAACUGUGCGCGUAUUCGACAGAGCACGAGCCAGCUCGACGAGGAAGGCCCGACCCUGUUCUGUGGCCUUUGGAUUCAGUUUCACUUCGCACGUUCCGUUCGCUGAUGACAUGUGAGAUUGUGUGGGGGGUUUGAGCGUUGGCUAGGUAGGACCAGGCUGGGACGAUCUACGAGGAGUUCCCCAGGACGGGAUGUAUACGGCUCACGCUCCGCCUGCUGCUUCUGCUUUUCCGGCACCCAAGGAGCGGCUUGUCCAAAGAUCAUUCGUCCUAUAAGCGCCCGCCGCUAUCUCGACGCUAGUGCUGAUGAUGGCAGUGGCGGUUGUCGCUCGUCCGCUAAGCUGGCCGGCCGACCGACCGACCGACCGACCAACCAACCAACGCCUUCGUCGUCACUAGGACAGGAAGUCAUCAAAUUCGCUUCCUUGGGAAGCAAUGGGUACAGCGGCCCGAGCACACGGCAUGACUAUGGCAUUGCGCUCGGGGAUACGGCGGGCCACCGUCGUUGUCGGCUCCCUGUCAUUUUGUUGUUCGGCCGUCGUUGGGCUAUUCUGUGCGACGGGGAAAUCCGACAAAAGCACCGACCAAGCGCCUGAGCGAUGGUGAAUCGACAGUAAUUUGAAUAGGCGACACUGGGGACGACAAGAAAGCAAACCUUCACUGCUGCCGACGGGAUUACUGUUUCUAACAGGAAUCCCCUUCUAUUUUACAAUAGAUAGCCGACUAACUUUUUUCUUCAAUAGGACGAAACUACAGUUGAGCGUCUGCUUAAAACUGGGUGCAUGCUGUUAUAAGCGCCCCCUUUAGUGCCCUAGUGAGAGUGCUGAGGGAAUCAAGCUGCCGGUCUGCUUGUGCGGAGGUCUACAAGCUUAUCAUAAGCGUCUGCCAUGAAAUAACCAUCGUCGAAAAUUGUCAUUGGCGAAGGAUCAGUCUCGUUGCAUAAACUUUGUGCAUGGACAGUCCGUAUUUGACGGAACACUGUUCUGUGCAAACACAACACGCGACCCCCGCGAUCCGUUUCUCACGUUCGUUCUCUGUCUCAUUCACCGACACCAACAAGCUGUGCCUUUGGUUGGUUCACUCAGCGUCGGUCGGCCUACAUGCAAACAUCUCCGUGUGUUGUAAGCCCGACACCAUAUAUUAUUCGCCAUAUAAGCUUCGGUCUCUACCCGCUGCGUACUGCCUACUGGGUAUUUUAAUUUAUGAACCAUGGUAGAAAUGCGUGCAUGCAGUUAUGCCUUGAGAUGGACUCAGGAUUGAUGCCACGCAUGACCCACGGAUAUCAAGUAUUUAAACUUGGACACAACUGCCGCAUCCGUUGCAGUUAUUAAACAUCCGAACACCUUUCCGCACAUAGAGGCAGAAAGAAGAAGAGAAAGCAAGCUUACUGAAGCACAUAGUAUUGACGAUUUUAAGCGAAAGACAAGUUCUCCUUCUGAUCGAUCAAAAUUAUCAUAGAGAUAUGCCAUGGCAAAGUUAUAUAUCCGGAUAGGUCCUGAUACAUCUUUGAAGGCCUCUCAUCUAUACAGGAAACAUAAUCUCACGAUAUCUGUAUGGAAGCAGGCUGAGAGCCUGCUUGAAAAGAACUGCAUGUAAACAGUUUCCGAGCAUUUAGUGAGCAGAAACUAUACGUCGUAUAUACAUAGGUUCUAACUUACUGUUCAUAUCACUUUUUCCGCCAUUAAUCGGAGCACAGUGGCGUAAGAAAUCCAGCUGUUACGGUUCUAACGUUCGGGCUCCCCACGUUCGUUCGACGUUUUAACCAUUUCUCUCUUUCCUCAGCUCUCGUCCAGAGCCCUUUAUAUCCAGAUGUUUGGGUGACGAAGCUUUCUUUCGACACUGGCUCCAGCAGCAGCAGCAGCAACGAUGCUUGCACAGUACUCUGCAACCCUACAUAACUUUUGCAGGACUGUCCCUCUACUGCCUUGUUUCUUACUCUAAAAUUAGCAUUUCAAAAAAGCGUGCCAUGUCGCCACCUAGCUCUAUCUCGAAGAACAUAGGCAGGAAAAACAUAGGAGAAACAUAGGAGUUGAGGUUUGCGCGAGUCAAGGGCUCAGCGCGGGUUCAGGGUAACUGAGGGAAAGAUGGAGCAAACAAAUAAGAGAAAAGCGUGCUAUUUAGAAGAAAAGCGAACGCAGAGGAUGAAGAGUUCUUCUUUUCCUUUGUUCACAACAUAUUGCCCCAAGAGAUUUGCGGCGUAAACCAUCCUGUGCUCCUAGCGUGUUAUUGUUGCGGGUAUGGGGACUAGGUAUGUCUACAAAGAAGGAGAGAAAAAUAGGACUUUACAACGUUACGGAACGGUGCACGCCAGCGCUACCGAUGCUCUACUUAGACAAGUGAGUUGUAGCAGCCAAUAGUUAUGGUCGGUAAGGGUCAAUGCAAAAACCUACACUGCGUUACGGUUGAUGCAAUUGUUAGCUGAGUUGCUGGGCGAAAGGCUGGCAGAUGGCCUGUAUUGUAAGUUUGAAACUUCGCAGCACAACAAAGAAACUAGCGCAAGGGAAGACAGACCUCCGAUUGGAUAUAUUGCAGCAACUCGAAGAGAAUAAGCGUCGAAAACGAAAACAUAAGGCUGAGUACACAAAAAGAAUGCGGCAAAGUAAAGUAUACGCACUAAAGAUAGACCUGUCUACGAGAAAGAAAAAGUAUAAGCCGCAUUGGGGAGCCAGCACAUGCUAUUUGCUGGCAGCCUAUUUGGGCAAGAAGUCUAAACAGGACGUCUUCUUACAAAUAAGACAAUUUGUCGAGUAGGAGUAGGUUCAUCGGCACUGACCGGAUGACCACGGACAUACGACCCAGUGCCAUGAAACUGGAAGGCUUCGCGACUUCUGCACCUUAGUCUCUUCUUGCAUCUAUCUGCAAGUAUAUGGGCGGGCUAGCCCAUGUUAACGAUAGCGAGCAACCGAAUCUAAAGCACAUCGACCCCACGUUGAUACUCGAAGGGGACAAGGGCCGAUGUCGAGGACAGCAGUCGCACAGACAGACAUGUUCCUUCUACAUAGAAAACGUGGAUUGACUGACAGUCGCGCAAAUGGAGGCAACAACCUCCGUCUAUUGGGAGGAAUCGGGGGAGCACUAUACCGCCUUCAAGGCACGCUACCCAUGUCUCCAGUUCUGAAUCUAACCCAUCUCCCGCUCAAGGCUUGCAUGGCUGCCACCUAGCAACAACUUAAGUUAGUCCGCUUCCACUUUGUCCUUAAAAACGGUGCCGCCUUUCGUUGGAUCUGACGCUGGCGGUUACCGCCACCUUCCACUGCGCCUCUCAAAAACAGAAACGUCGUGACAGCUAAUAUUGCCAUUCAACAAUAGAAGAGGACGACGACGAUGAAGGGGAUAGGAUAGCAAAGGGGCCUCCUUUUGUUCUUGUUCUUCUUUUCCGUCCUCUUUGCUUCUUUAAGGGGAGAACGGCCCAAGACGAGAAAACCAGGAGGGUCGAAUUGGCAUAUCGACGGAACAGAGACCUGAAAGAAGAAAGCGGCGCCAAAAGAGAUAGACCGAACCGAAAAGGUCGAAUCACAGGAGAGUACAUUUCAGAAAAUUCAUUUCGACAACUUCUGCGCUCGGACCAGGCAGACCAGUCGACGGCCCGGAACCCGCCUCGCUACCAGUGAAGUCUCGCCUCCAGGCUUUUUUUGCUCGUCGCUUCCAUACUACGGCCGCAUUGCUUCUGCAGGACUGCCAAUUUUGUCCGAAAAGGUCGAGUCGGCUCGUCUGUCCAACCUGACCCUACCUAUCGAGUAGGGCGAGUUCACUCGACAGCAUACCCUGCGUGAGGAUCAGACCAGAUAGAAGCAAAACGCAACAGGAUGCCAAUAUCGAACGCAUGAUACAGCAAGGCGCAUCUGAACAUGUCGAGCCUCAAAAAAAGGGAAGAUCGAAAGCCUGAGGGUCUGAGGACCCGUGCUCUUAUAGGGAGAGGGGUGGUAAGAAACGUUGAUCCCAGCAAGCCCACCCUGAUUUUUUACUUUGUUAACACCCAGUGUAUGUACAGGUAGAAUAUGAGUCGCGAACGUAGAUCAGAGAAAUAACUAUUAUAUGGAAGAAGUAUAUAUAAGAGACU